rnacentral:pre_miRNA from 9 species
AGACCUCAGACGUCUCGGGGAUCAUCAUGUCACGAGAGACCACUGUGCACUUGUGACAGAUUGAUAACUGAAAGGUCUGGGAGCC